CAAGUUUGUUAACCCGCUUAGCCUCCAGCGAUAUCAAGUAUACAGCAGCAAGAGACAUACAUAAAGAGACUCGUUGGCUUUUACGAACCAUCAAUGUCCAUCUGCGUAUCAAAUGUAACUGGCUGGCGCCCGAAUUUCAAUCCCUUAACUAACAUAUCUGUCUUCCAUAGAACAGUGAAUUGUGUUAAAUGUAGAGAGAAUGCAUGGGCUAGGGCCGGUUGAUUACAUAGGGCUGGUGUGGCAUGGACGAGUGAUUACUCAGCGCUGGACGAGGUCAGAGAAAGACAAGGUUGCGGCUUUUCUACUUUUUGUGUAUUUUUAUCUACAUUCUCUAUGCAACAUAGACACAUAAAUAA
rnacentral:sRNA from 1 species